GUGGAGCAGGGGAUGCUUGGAGUUGAUCACGGAAAGGAUGGAAUCUGUGCUCAAACGUGGACGCGGCUGAAUCUGGGAAGUUUGGACGCAGAAGGAGAUAAGGAUGCUGGGAGAUUACUUGCAGUUGGUUGGGAUCAAUCCGAUCCGAGCUCAUCUGGGUUGAGAUGCAGCCAUUGGCUGGACGUGGAGGAAUCCGGAAGAAACUGAUAACGGAUGCGGUUGAAUGCUGGGAUAAGGAUUCGUGAUGAGCUGCAUCUGCUGGGAUAAUGCGGAGAAAAUCUCGGACGCGGAAGGAGGAUGAACUCUGUUCUGUUUCCUAAACAGGGGAAGAGGAUGAAUCUUUGAUGGCUGGGAUGAAGACGCGUGAAACAGGGGAUGAUUCAUGGGAUUCGGCAGCUCGGGCGUUGGGAGUGAAGGUGCUGGAAGCUUGAUCUGCAUCACGGGAUGGCUCGCGGAUGAGGUUGAGAUUAAUCCGGGAGUUUGGAUGAAGCUCACGGUUGGGAACGGAUGUCAAGUGAUCUGGAACAGGGGAGAAUAAGUUAGAUGCCGUGUUUGCUGGUCCGUGAGGCUCGGGAGGAUGGAGUC
rnacentral:lncRNA from 1 species